rnacentral:rRNA from 1 species
UUAAAUUGAAGAGUUUGAUCAUGGCUCAGAUUGAACGCUGGCGGCAGGCCUAACACAUGCAAGUCGAACGGUAACAGGAAGCAGCUUGCUGUUUUGCUGACGAGUGGCGGACGGGUGAGUAAUGUCUGGGAAACUGCCUGAUGGAGGGGGAUAACUACUGGAAACGGUAGCUAAUACCGCAUAACGUCGCAAGACCAAAGAGGGGGA